AGGUCUUGCCAAUUUAUUAGUGACUUUUAUCAACUUCAUGAAAGUAUUAAGAAUUUAUCAACUCUAUGAAAGUCACUAACUUUAAAAAAAUAUUAAAAAAAAAUCUUUAUAAGUAUGAAUUGGAUCUCAUAGAGAAUUCAGGGGGCGGGGUAGUGUGACGGAGAAAAAAGGGAAAGAGAGGCAUAAGAGGUGAUGCUUCACUGGCGGUGAAGAGAGGAGGAGCUCACGGGUGUUGGGGGUUAUUUGGGAUGUGGUGGGUGGCCGGCAGCUGAGGCGGUGGGUGCUCACGUUGGUGGCUGUUUGUUUUAUUUUUCUUUCAAUUUUAAAUUAUUUUUUAAAAAGUUUUAUUAAGUUAACAAUAUUCAGUGAUUGAACAACUGUCAAAAAAUUAUGCAAGGAACAUGAAGGAAACAGAAAAUGAGGACAGUGGAUCCCCAUAUCCUCGAAGUAAAUUUAGGUUUUAGUCACAAAAAAACUUUCAUUUGCCUACUGCUAGAUAUAGUUGAGGGUGUGUAGAGAUAGAGACUGGGUGCAAACGGGAAUUCCUGAUAUGCAUAUCAGUGACGAUGUCUAACCAAGGCCCAAAAUGGGCAUCUAAGCAAACGUAAGCAAGCCCCAGGUCGACUCGGGCCCGGAUUGUUCUUGUUAUUUACUCUUUCUCAGUAACAGAAAAGGGUUAUUUUUUCUGCCACCAUUUUCUUCACUCACCGACAGAAAGAGGCGGAUCAUUUGGGUCACAGGAGAAAGAUGAAGAGCCAAAGCAGUUAUGCCCCACCGGCGUACAUUCCUUUAGGGAUGUCGGAUUCUGAAUCGGCAAUUGUUUUGCGAAAUGAAGAGCCUCCCAAGCAGCAAAACAGUGUUGAUGGGCCUGUACAAUGGUCUUCUGGAAUCUGCGCAUGCUGUGACGAUAUGCAGAGCUGUAUGCUACUUUCUGCCUUGUGACCUUCAUUUAUCAGAAGGAAAAAAAAUGAAGGUUGUGUAGGUCUAUUUUGUCCUUGCUUUUUAUUUGGAAAGAAUGCAGAAUUUCUGGGUUCUGGGACAUUCAUAGGAUCAUGCAUGAUGCAUUUUAUUUUGUGGGCACUCGUUAAUACCGUCUGCUGCUUAUUGACUGAGGGUCUUGUUUUGGGAGUACCGGGAUGCUUUGUUGCAUGUUAUGCUUGUGGCUACCGCAGGACCCUAAGAUCAAAGUAUAAUCUUCAGGAAGCACCAUGUGGAGACUUUGUCACUCAUUUUUUCUGCCAUUUGUGUGCCAUUUGUCAAGAGUACAGGGAGAUCCGAGAAAAAUCUGCUGAUUCUGGCUUUCCUGACCUGAGUCUGGCCGUAGUUACAGCCCCACCAGUCCAGACAAUGGAACCGGGUCUUGAAGAGUAAACCACUGUUUUUGUACUCAUGCAGGAUCAGCAUUUGGUCUAGGUUAUGCAACCUUCAUCAUGCCCCUCAGUGGAUAUUGUUAGUGAAGCCCUCCACAAUUUAUUUUGUCUUUUAAGUUCUUUGGUGUAGUCUAUACCAGGGUUGAUUUAAUUAUGCUAUCAGUCAUAUGGUGUGCUUGUUUCACUGGUUCUGCUUCAACCUGCAACCUAUGCGGCUUUUCCAUAUGAAAGUACAUGAUGAAUUUUAUGAAAUGAAAAAGAAAAUAGGAGUUGAAAAACA